GCUUAUAUAGUUUAAAAAAC
rnacentral:tRNA from 2 species